rnacentral:rRNA from 1 species
CCUACGGGAGGCAGCAGUGAGGAAUAUUCGUCAAUGGGCGCGAGCCUGAACCAGCCAAGUAGCGUGAAGGAUGACUGCCCUACGGGUUGUAAACUUCUUUUAUAAAGGAAUAAAGUGAGGCACGUGUGCCUUUUUGUCUGUACUUUAUGAAUAAGGAUCGGCUAACUCCGUUCCAGCAGCAGCGGUAAUACGGUGGGUCCGAGCGUUAUCCGGAUUUAUUGGGUUUAAAGGGAGCGUAGAUGGGUUGUUAAGUCAGUUGUGAUAGUUAGCGGCUCAACCGUAAAAUUGCAAUUGAUACUGGCAGUCUUGAGUACAGUUGAGGUAGGCGGAAUUCGUGGUGUAGCGGUGAAAUGCUUAGAGAUCACGAAGAACUCCGAUUGCGAAGGCAGCUUACUAAUCUGCCACUGACAUUGAUGUGCGAAAGUGUGGGUAUCAAACAGGAUUAGAUACCCGUGUAGUC